rnacentral:rRNA from 1 species
UACGAAGGGGUGAGAGCGUUAGCGCGAAUUACUGGGCGUAAAGCGUGCGCAGGCGGUUAUGCAAGACAGAUGUGAAAUCCCCGGGCUCAACCUGGGAACUGCAUUUGUGACUGCAUGGCUGGAGUGCGGCAGAGGGGGAUGGAAUUCCGCGUGUAGCAGUGAAAUGCGUAGAUAUGCGGAGGAACACCAAUAGCGAAGGCAGCUCGCUGGGACGUUACUGACACUGAGGCGCGAAAGCGUGGGGAGCGAACAGG